UACGUAGGGGGCAAGCGUUGUCCGGAUUUAUUGGGCGUAAAGAGCGUGUAGGCGGCCCGGUAAGUCCGCUGUGAAAGUCGGGGGGCUCAACCCUCGAAUGCCGGUGGAUACUGUCGGGCUAGAGUGCGGAAGAGGCGAGUGGAAUUCCUGGUGUAGCGGUGAAAUGCGCAGACUAUCAGGAGGAACACCGAUUGCGAAGGCAGCUCGCUGG
rnacentral:rRNA from 1 species